GUAAACGUCACAAUCGCUCCCUUGGUCGAACUAUAAUCCAGCAGCUCACCCAGCCCACCAUAAGCAGUGACAGAGGUGGUGUUGAUUAUGCAGCUCCCACUUUUCAUAUGCCUCAGCGAAAACUUCGCCAUGAAGAAGUAAGCAAAUAUGUUGGUCCUGAAAGUCUUCUCCAGCCUCGCCUCCGUUACGUCCUCGAUCGAGAAAGUGUAGUACUGGACCGCAGCAUUGUUGACCAGGAUGUCGAUGGUCCCGUAUUCGUUCACGAAUUCUUCCACAAUCCUCUGGCACUCCGAUUCGUAUCCGAUAUCAGCAGUACCUAUGGCUAUUGGGCCUCUAGCACUAGGUUGCUUAAGUUUAUUGAUCCAUCGGAUCGUUUCAUUCUUGUCGAUAUCUUCUACUCCUUUGACGUAAGUGAAUCCUACGGUCGCUCCUUCCAUUGUGAAGUGCAGGCACACCGAUCGACCUAUCCCCGAGUCUCCUCCUGUCACCAGAGCCACCUUCCCCUGUGCAUGAGCGCAUCCAUUCAACACAUAUAACUAGUUAUUUUUCACUUACAAACGGUUAUAAACACAUAUAUAACUAGUUAUUGAGUCGUAUCAUUAGUUGCCAGAUGGAAUAAUGAGAAUAGUAAAUGCAUGAAACGUUUGGUUUCGACUUACAAGGAGCUUAUUAGAUGGCUUGUAGUUAGGGUUGAGUGGCUGAGGCAAAGGGUGCAUCAAGUAUUCCUUGCCAGGCUGCUCUGGUUGAUGCUGUGGUGGGAACUUUGAGCCACAGUCACAACUACUGCUUCCGGACGCCAUCUCUCUU
rnacentral:lncRNA from 1 species